rnacentral:rRNA from 1 species
UACGUAGGUCCCGAGCGUUGUCCGGAUUUAUUGGGCGUAAAGCGAGCGCAGGUGGUUUAUUAAGUCUGGUGUAAAAGGCAGUGGCUCAACCAUUGUAUGCAUUGGAAACUGGUAGACUUGAGUGCAGGAGAGGAGAGUGGAAUUCCAUGUGUAGCGGUGAAAUGCGUAGAUAUAUGGAGGAACACCGGUGGCGAAAGCGGCUCUCUGGCCUGUAACUGACACUGAGGCUCGAAAGCGUGGGUAUCAAACAGG